AAAGUCGGAUUUUGAUUUGAGAAAAAAUACACAUAAAUAGCUUAAGCGAAAAUAGCUAAAACACCUACUAAAUACCUCAAGGAAAACAGAGGAAGAGAACUAAUUUCAGUAUUUUGGGUCCAACAUUCUGCCCGGAUUUUCUAAUCGCUGCUAGUGUUUGAAUUUCGUGGUGGAAGAGUCGUAGUCAUCGGCUUGUUGUCCAGGUCGCUGCC
rnacentral:lncRNA from 1 species